CAGUCGCCGCGGGAAUACGUAGGUCCCGAGCGUUGUCCGGAUUUAUUGGGCGUAAAGCGAGCGCAGGCGGUUAGAUAAGUCUGAAGUUAAAGGCUGUGGCUUAACCAUAGUACGCUUUGGAAACUGUUUAACUUGAGUGCAAGAGGGGAGAGUGGAAUUCCAUGUGUAGCGGUGAAAUGCGUAGAUAUAUGGAGGAACACCGGUGGCGAAAGCGGCUCUCUGGCUUGUAACUGACGCUGAGGCUCGAAAGCGUGGGGAGCAAACAGGAUUAGAUACCCCUGUAGUCCCUGUCUCUUAUACA
rnacentral:rRNA from 1 species